GACGAACGCUGGCGGCGUGCCUAAUACAUGCAAGUAGAACGCACAGUUUAUACCGUAGCUUGCUACACCAUAAACUGUGAGUUGCGAACGGGUGAGUAACGCGUAGGUAACCUGCCUGGUAGCGGGGGAUAACUAUUGGAAACGAUAGCUAAUACCGCAUAAUAUUAAUUAUUGCAUGAUAAUUGAUUGAAAGAUGCAAUUGCAUCACUACCAGAUGGACCUGCGUUGUAUUAGCUAGUAGGUGAGGUAACGGCUCACCUAGGCGACGAUACAUAGCCGACCUGAGAGGGUGAUCGGCCACACUGGGACUGAGACACGGCCCAGACUCCUACGGGAGGCAGCAGUAGGGAAUCUUCGGCAAUGGACGAAAGUCUGACCGAGCAACGCCGCGUGAGUGAAGAAGGUUUUCGGAUCGUAAAGCUCUGUUAUAAGAGAAGAACGGGUGUGAGAGUGGAAAGUUCACACUGUGACGGUAUCUUACCAGAAAGGGACGGCUAACUACGUG
rnacentral:rRNA from 1 species